CAAUUGGAGGGCAAGUCUGGUGCCAGCAGCCGCGGUAAUUCCAGCUCCAAUAGCGUAUAUUAAAAUUGUUGCAGUUAAAACGCUCGUAGUUGAAUUUCAAAGAAUCGAUAUUUUAUUGUAACUAUUCUAGGGGAACUAUUUUAGCUUUUCGCUUUAAUACGCUUCCUCUAUUAUUAUGUUCUUUAAAUAACAAAGAUUCUUUUUAAAAUCCCCACUUUGCUUUUGCUUUUUGGGGAUUUUGUUACUUUGAGUAAAUUAGAGUGUUCAAAGCAAACAGUUAAAGCAUUUACUGUGUUUGAAUACUAUAGCAUGGAAUAACAAAAUUGAACAAGCUAAAAUUUUUUGUUCUUUUUUCUUAUUUUGGCUUAGUUACGAUUAAUAGGAGUAGCUUGGGGACAUUCGUAUUCAGAUGUCAGAGGUGAAAUUCUUAGAUUUUCUGGAGACGAACAACUGCGAAAGCAUUUGUCUAAAAUACUUCCAUUAAUCAAGAACGAAAGUUAAGGGAGUGAAGACGAUCAGAUACCGUCGUAAUCUU
rnacentral:rRNA from 1 species